rnacentral:rRNA from 1 species
AAAUUGAAGAGUUUGAUCAUGGCUCAGAUUGAACGCUGGCGGCAGGCCUAACACAUGCAAGUCGAACGGUAACAGGAAGCAGCUUGCUGCUUUGCUGACGAGUGGCGGACGGGUGAGUAAUGUCUGGGAAACUGCCCGAUGGAGGGGGAUAACUACUGGAAACGGUAGCUAAUACCGCAUAACGUCGCAAGACCAAAGAGGGGG